UCCGCCCUGGUGUAAUGGCAGCAUGCGGGCCUUUGGAGCCCUGCGGUAGAGGUUCGAAUCCUCUGGGCGGAG
rnacentral:tRNA from 4 species